rnacentral:lncRNA from 1 species
AUGCCUCUUCGACUUGAUAUCAAGAGAAAACUAACUGCUAGAUCUGAUCGAGUUAAGAGUGUGGAUUUGCAUCCUACAGAGCCAUGGAUGUUGGCAAGUCUUUAUAAUGGCAGUGUAUGUGUUUGGAAUCAUGAAACACAGGUAGGAUUUUUUAAAAAAAGACUAUUAAAAAUAAAAUACUGUAUUUUUAUAAUGAAUGAGAAAAAUAUAAGAGUCUAUUAGCUAUAUGCACACUGCUUUCUCAAAUUAGUGCAAAUUAUUUUAAAUAGAGAGGAACUACAUUUAUGAGGGUAUUGCUUGCAGACAUGGCAUUUAUGAUAUUUAAAUGUAGCGACUCUGAUGUAGUGUUUUCUUUGAAAUUGAGGAAACUGAUGCUGAAAUGUAAAGGGACUUGAUGUAGAUAAAGCAUUUCAAUGUUAAUACUAGUUUCCUAUUCUAUCUUUUUAAAAAAAUUAAUUAAGUUUAUUGGUACACUUUAGGUAUACAUCAUGAUCACAUUCAUCAUAGGAAUUUGUACCUGUGCAUGAUAUAUCUUGAUUCUUAUUUUUCCCCAUUCCCCUUCCCUCCCUUCAACGCUGCUUCCCCCUUUAUUUACAAAAGCUUUAUUUCCAUUUUUUUCUUUUCUCAUUUUUUUCCUUUCUCUUCCUUCCUUUUCCCUGCCCCUCUCCCUUAGUUUUCUUCCUAUUUCAUGAUAUCUGUUAUACAUUUUGGUCCUUAUUUACACUUUCAGUUUUUCAUACCAGAGAAACAAUGCAGUUUUUAUACAUGUGUGUCUCAUUUAUUUCAAUUAAGAGUACGGCCUCAAGAUACAUCCAUUUAACUAUAAAUGUGUCAAGUUUAUCUUUCUUUAUGGCUGAGUAGU